AUAGCUGACGAGUCCCAAAUAGGACGAAACGCGCGUCCUGGAU
rfam:Schistosoma margrebowiei strain Zambia genome assembly, scaffold: SMRZ_scaffold0000093